AAAAAAAAGAAGUUUCUUCAGCCAGAUACCCUAAAUCCUCUCUCACAAGUUCAAAGUUCCACAAAUCUCUAACGCAGGGGCAAAAUGCCACCAGUUUCUUUGCUAAAACACAAAAGUCACCUUUGCUCCAGUUCCCAAGGAGUUCCUCAUCUCCAUCUGAACCACCUCGGCCUGGAUUUAUUGUCCAUAUCGCUAUCAGCAUUUUGGGCAAAGCCAUUCAACAAGUCUAGGAAGUUCCAAACUUUCCCACAUUUUCCUGUCUUCUUCUAGCCCUUCAAACUGUUCCAAUCUCUGCUUGUUACCCAGUUCCAAAGUCGCUUCCACAUUUUCGGGUAUCUUUUCAGCAACACCCCACUCUACUGGUACCAAUUUACUGCAUUAGUCCGUUCUCACACUGCUAGUAAAGACAAACCCAAGACUGGGCAAUUUACAAAAGAAAGAGGUUUAAUUUGACUUACACUUCCACGUGGCUGGGGAAGGUCUCACAAUCAUGGCAGAGGGCAAAAGGCACUUCUCAUAUGGCAGCAGGAAGAGAGAAUGAGGAAGAAGCAAAAGUGGAAACCCCUCAUAAACCCAUCAGAUCUCGUGAGACUUAUUCACUAUCACAAGAAUAGCAUGGGAAAGGCUGGCCUCCAUGAUUCAAUUACCUCCCCCUUGGUCCCUCCCACAACAUGUGGGAAUUCUGGGAGAUAUAAUUCAAGUUGAGAUUUGGGUGGGGACACAGCCAAACCAUAUCAGGCACCCUGUGGAAUCCCAGGACUCCAAAAAAGUCUAAAAAUCACUGGUUGUUUUAUCAUGUUUUCCCACUCCAGAUAAAAAAAUCUGUAUUGGGGGAAUGAUUAUUUUAAAAUCCCAAAUAGGCCAGGCACAGUGGCUCACGCCUGUAAUCCCAGCACUUUGGAGGGAGAGGUGGGUGGAUCACCUGAAGUCAGGAGUUCAAGACCAGCCUGGCCAACAUGGUGAAACCCCAUCUCUACUAAAAGUACAAACAAUUAGCCAGGUGUGGUGGUAGGCACCUGUAAUCCCAGCUACUCAGAAGGCUGAGGCCGGAGAAUUGCUUGAACCCGGGAGGCAGAGGUUGCAGUGAGCCAAGGUCAUGCUAUUACACUCCAGCCUGGGCAAUAAGAGCGAAACUCCCUCUCAAAAAAAUAAAAAUAAAAUAAAAAUCCCAAAUAAUAUAGAAACUUAAUGUCAAAA
rnacentral:lncRNA from 10 species